GUGAUUAUUUUUUCCUGUUGUGCCUCCUUACAGACUGAGUGUCUGACACAUGUACAGAGCCCACAAGCUGCCAUGAGCUAUUUCUACAUGUAACUAGGUGACUACGCCUUGCAGCUUCCCCUACGUUAUAGGCUUUUUAACUUCAUUAUGUGAUCAGGCAUGUUGCCAACUUUGAAGGCCAUUCCACACAUCUGAGUGAUCUGGCUUGCCGUCCAGGUGAUUUAAGUGCCAAUCUUGAUAAAGGUCCGCAUAAGGACCGAAACGUCGAUGAAAUACGGCAUCAACAGUGAACCCGAAUAAAAAUAUACUGAAUUUACAAGUGACUUCAGAGACUAAUUUCUGGGCGUGAGUGCACCUUCCACCUAGGUGGUUGUUGUGGUAUAUUGGUGGCCUCUCUGGUCAUUAGGAGCACCCGCCGUCGUUAUUACUUUUGAUGAGAGUGCAGGAUCUUCC